CGACGUGGAUAACCUGCCUUACACUGGGGGAUAACACUUAGAAAUAGGUGCUAAUACCGCAUAAGCGCACAGCUUCGCAUGAAGGAGUGUGAAAAACUAAGGUGGUAUAUGAUGGAUCCGCGUCUGAUUAGCCAGUUGGUGAGGUAACGGCUCACCAAAGCGACGAUCAGUAGCCGGCCUGAGAGGGCGGACGGCCACAUUGGGACUGAGACACGGCCCAGACUCCUACGGAAGGCAGCAG
rnacentral:rRNA from 1 species